GAUUGAAAAUGGAAUGGGGAAAUUCAUUUCUUUUCUCAGGUAAAAAACUUCGUAGAUAAAGCCACAAGUAUAGGGUUUAGGCUGUAAGAAAAAUCAGAGAACGAUCUACAUAUAUUACAAUGGACUUGGAACACUGAUUUGCAUUCCACAAAGACAACAAGACAUCUCUGGAGAGAGUCGCUUAGUCCAGUACUCGACUCUUCAAAGACUGUGCUUUCUCUGUCCAAUCAAAGUGCCUUAGAACAUUCGCUCCUCUCUGUGGAAAUUGUAACGAUCAAUAAACUUGUUUUUAUGACUUUCGAUGCUGUGAUGUGUUGUAAAUUGAUUUUAUAGCGCCAACAGUCCAUUAUGGGGCUAUGGCGAUGGCUGUGAGAGUGCGUUAUAAAGUGUCGGACGAGCGAUGUCGGGGGCACAUUCGAUGUAGGAAAACUGUUCCAGCAAUAUGCACUGGUCGCUGCUCAUCGGAGGUAUGGCUGUGAUCCUAAGUCUGAUCGGAAGUAAAGUCUGGGUGUCUGGUGCAGAGCAGCCUACUCUCUAUCCUUGGGAAAAGGAGCCAGUAACAAAGCACAGCAAGCCAUUUAGGGUAUCUGGAGAUAUCUAAAGCUCUGUGGAGAGAUUCCUUGGGUUGAUACGAUAUUAUAUUAUAUUUGUUCUUGAAAUAAAUGAAAUCAGAAAACCAUUA